UGCAGGCCUUCAUUACUGAGCACGAGCACUUGUUUACAGCUGCAGUGUAUGCUAAUCUUCUAAAAGUCCAAGUCCUUGGAAGAGAGAUACCUCCUGAUGCACAAGAUCAAAUAUUAGAGAUUUUAUCACGUUAGCAAUCGAAUUAUAUCUUCCAAAUCAUAUGAUUUUUGCUCACAUGGUUAAUUUCUGGUCUCCCUAUCAGAACAGCAGAGUCUGUCAACCUUUUCCUUUGAAGUUAUUGUCCGUCAUGCUCCAACUACAGGUAUUUUUUUCGAAUGCCAAAGAUACGAGGUUUGUUUUAUUGCAUUCAUAAUUAUAAUUUGCUCUUCGUGUAGUAUCAAUUUUGUGAGCUGCGUGUUUCUCCAUUUUUCUUUAUUGCUUUUGAUUAGUAUCGAUCACCUAGGGAUUAAAAGUGCAAAUUUCAUGUUAUGUUGUUAAUCACAUGCUAGUUGUCUUGUUGUUGUGGACAUCGUACAUCCCAACUUUGAAUUGCUAUAGGAAGUCCAAGUUGGAUAAGAAA